rnacentral:rRNA from 1 species
UACAGAGGUCUCAAGCGUUGUUCGGAUUUAUUGGGCGUAAAGGGCGCGUAGGCGGCUCGGCACGUCCGUUGUGAAAUCGCCCGGCUCAACUGGGCGGGGUCAGCGGAUACGGUCGAGCUUGAGCAAGCUAGGGGGCAAUGGAAUUCCCGGUGUAGUGGUGGAAUGCGUAGAUAUCGGGAGGAACACCAGUGGCGAAGGCGGUUGCCUGGGGCUUUGCUGACGCUGAUGCGCGAAAGCGUGGGGAGCGAUCCGG